rnacentral:rRNA from 1 species
GACAGAGGGUGCAAACGUUGCUCGGAAUCACUAGGCGUAAAGGGCGUGUAGGCGGGAAGGAAAGUCAGAUGUGAAAUCCCUGGGCUCAACCCAGGAACUGCAUUUGAAACUCCCUUUCUUGAGUACCGGAGAGGAAAGUGGAAUUCCUGGUGUAGAGGUGAAAUUCGUAGAUAUCAGGAGGAACACCAGUGGCGAAGGCGGCUUUCUGGACGGUAACUGACGCUGAGACGCGAAAGCGUGGGGAGCAAACAGG